GGGAUGGCCUUAAAAGCCUCUAGUUUACAUUGACGUCACAGGAAGACGGCUCUCUGCGCGCACAGGUGUUCUCCACAGGUGAUGGCGAGGGAAUUAAAAUGGUGCUUCAUGAAAAACAAGUUAAACUCUUCACUGAAGUCAUUUGACCUCAUCACAGRUUAGGCAUGGCUCAAAACUGCCUGGGGAACUGUGCGCCGUUAUUUUUCCUAGCCAUCGCUUUUGACGUCGGCGGUUUGACAUUGCUUUUAGUCGGUAUUUUCGCGGAUCUAAAGUUGGACGGUCAUUUCUACGGUGAUUUCCUCAUCUACACGGGUACACUCAUCAUCUUCUUAAGUCUGGGUUGGUGGAUUUUGUGGUACACGGGAAACAUAAAGGUUUACUCCGAGGACUCUGAGAAAAGCACCCUGGAAAACUUUGCGCACUGGGCGACAAAGUUUUCGGAGCGGCUCUCGAAGAGCGGGAUAAAAACUCUGGAAGCCGGGGAGAAGUGCAUGGUGAAUAGGAAGGAAUCGGUCAACAGAACAGUGCCUGUUCACGCUCCAUCACGAAUUACGUGGGAACACAGCAUCAGCGUGACAGGACACGACAAUGGAGGAUACGACCAAAGUUUUGACAACCCGCCGACGGAGAAAACGGUCGAGUUGGGGAUUCUGAAGAACAGUGAAGUGUUAUUGCAAAGCAUCGUGGAUAGCAAAGCAGAGAGGCUUCUCUGACAGAGCUGGUGAUCUCGGAUUCUCCAGUUUGAAAAACGUAUGCCUACCCCAAGCGCUGCUUUUCAAAUCCCAACCGACUGAAUACCUUUUUAGCCUAUAUGAACCAAAGACACUUUCAAUGGAGAAUACUAUUUUUGUUCAGGAAGAGGCCGUCUGACACAAUGUCCGGGCCCUGCACUGAGGAUAGAAAUGGCAGAAUUUUACUUGUAAUUAGCUAAAUAACUACAUUUUUUUAUGUCCUGAAUUUUACAUGGUUCAUUUUGAUGAUAUUUUCUUUAAAUAAAGUUUCUUAUUGUUUUCUAAUGUCA